UUUUGUCUUCUAGUUUUGCCACUUCUGAACUAUACAUGGACAGAUUGUUCUUUUCUUAUGGCUCCACAAAUUAAGUUUGUUUGUUCUCAGUUGUAGUCUGAAGCAAAGAUUAGUCUGAUCAUCAGAAACAGAAGGGAUGCUCGUCAUUAGUGAUGCUAGGAAAUAUUGUCUUUGGGGUUUGGGAAAAUGUUGCGCAUGUUGAUGAUACAGUACAAAUGGCUGCAGGAGGAAAAAGUGCUGUUGAAAAGCCUUCUUUUGUUUGAAUCCAUCAUGUGGGCAUAGGAUACGAAUGGCAUGGCUAAUUUGGAUUGUUAAGUAAAGGAUUAAGGGAGUGGAACCUUAUCUAUAUUUAGAAUUCAGGUUCUGAUAAUGAUUAGCACCAAAGUACAAGCCCUGAGAGAUAAGGUAACUGCCAAAAUGAGGGUUUGUUCGACUGAAUCUUCCCUAAGCUAUCGGUUGUGAUCUGUUAUUGGAACAAGUUAGGUAUGCUAUUGAGCAGCAGAAGCAUAGACAAGAUGGCCAUCAGAGGGUGAGUAUAGAAAAAUUUAAAACAAUUUUAGAGCAGCCUUGGGAUAGGUUGGCAUAGAAAACAAAUAUCAUAUGUCUCGGUAUUCUCAGAGGUUGGUCCAGAAUGAGCAGGAUACUGGAAUUCUGAGUUCAGGAAAAGAGUAAUGAACUUAAAAUUAUGUCAAUUAGGAAGGGAAUGAAGUGGGCCAGAGUUUAAAUAGCAGUAGCCAAGGUAGGCUGUGACAAUUAGCAGAGGUUCUGACUUCCUGCUACUGGCCAAUGAGCAAGAAAUUAAGAAGAGCUUUUUUUUUUUAAAAAG
rnacentral:misc_RNA from 1 species